rnacentral:rRNA from 1 species
AUUGAACGCUGGCGGCAGGCCUAACACAUGCAAGUCGAGCGGAUGAAGGGAGCUUGCUCCUGGAUUCAGUGGCGGACGGGUGAGUAAUGCCUAGGUAUCUGCCUGGUAGUGGGGGAUAACGUCCGGAAACGGGCGCUAAUACCGCAUACGUCCUGAGGGAGAAAGUGGGGGAUCUUCGGACCUCACGCUAUCAGAUGAGCCUAGGUCGGAUUAGCUAGUUGGUGGGGUAAAGGCCUACCAAGGCGACGAUCCGUAACUGGUCUGAGAGGAUGAUCAGUCACACUGGAACUGAGACACGGUCCAGACUCCUACGGGAGGCAGCAGUGGGGAAUAUUGGACAAUGGGCGAAAGCCUGAUCCAGCCAUGCCGCGUGUGUGAAGAAGGUCUUCGGAUUGUAAAGCACUUUAAGUUGGGAGGAAGGGCAGUAAGUUAAUACCUUGCUGUUUUGACGUUACCAACAGAAUAAGCACCGGCUAACUUCGUG